CAAGAGCGUAUGUAAAAGUUGUUGCAGUUAAAAAGCUCGUAGUUGAACCUUGGGUUUGGUUGGUCGGUCCGCUUUUUUGCGAGUACUGGAUUCAACCGAGCCUUUCCUUCUGGCUAACCAGUCGUUUCGGCGGCUGGCGAACCAGGAUUUUUACUUUGAGAAAAUUAGAGUGUUCAAAGCAGGCAUUAGCUUGAAUAUAUUAGCAUGGAAUAAUAGAAUAGGACGUUAUGGUUCUAUUUUGUUGGUUUCUAGGACCAUCGUAAUGAUUAAUAGGGACGGUCGGGGGCAUCAGUAUUCAGUUGUCAGAGGUGAAAUUCUUGGAUUUACUGAAGACUGACUACUGCGAAAGCAUUUGCCAAGGACGUUUUCAUUAA
rnacentral:rRNA from 1 species